UGAGCAAAGAGCCGGAAGAGAAAGGGUUGGGACUGAGCUCCGAAGGCCAAAGAGCUCUUAAAACUCCCGGGCUGCAGCCGCGCCGCUGCUCUGAGCGGCGCUUCAUGGGCAGGAGAGCCGCGCAACUCCCAGCACAGCGCUGCGGCUUCGUGGAGCGAUAAAGAACGCCGCUCAGCGCAGUCUCAAGCAGUGGGUUUGCCAAGGACGUGCCCCUGCGCAGCUCCGGGUGCGUGGGGAGAAGGCGUCAGCUCGUGGCGAGCGGAGGAGAGAUGGAAGGAGCGGAGCCCAACUUCUGGAAAAGAGUAAGUGACCUUCGCAUAGCACAGGACGGGAAGCGCCGGGCUCCGCCGGUGGCCGAAGUUUGCAACGAGGGGCGAACAAUGGCGCAGAGGCUGCGGGUAGCGUGGGAUGGAAUGGGGAGUCCGGGAACUGCAGCCCCCGCGGAACGGGCAUGGGAUGGGGACGGGGACAGAUGGGAGGUACCCACGCAGUAAUUUACGUGGGGAAAAGAAAAUAAAAUAAAAUCAGAGGGGAAGGGGAAGAGGGAGGGAGAGAGAGAAACUUCCCAAGCGAUGAGAAACAGAUGAGCUCUGCCUGGGUCACGCUCGCUGCCGGGCCGAUGCGCAGUGACGUCAGUGGCCGCACACCCUAUCGUCGUCAGAGCGCGAGGAGCGGAGUGGGGCCGCCCCCGCCUCCCCAACCCCCCCCUCCGAGACCGGGAGCCACUGCCAGCGGUGGGGCCGAGCCCGAGGAGCCCUCGGCCGGCGUCGUACUGCCCUGCGGUGCGCGGAGCGUCUGGGGCCCGGGAGCCGUGGGUACGCGAGGCUCCGGCAGAAGUACCUGCAGAUAUUUCCGAGCAGACGGCUCGGACCAGGCGACACAAACCCCAGGGCCCCGGCUCUGCUCCGCAGCAUUUUAUUGCCAUUACGCUCCUUGACGGCACCGGUCCGGGUGGUGACCCUUUUUUUUUUUUUUUUCCCAUUUGAAGCAUUUAAUGCUGAAGCACUGCGCACAGAACAGGCGGGCCCCCCGCUCCGCUAAUGAUACUGCCUCCCGUGUCGCUACGUGUGUGCGCGAAUCAAUAAUGCAUGGCCAUAUUUAUUCUGCAUGUUUGAUAAAUAACGUUCUGUUUGUUAAACCUCCAUUGAGAACGCUGAUGGCAAACAUCAACCAGCGAUGAAUACUGCUUACGUUUUAUUACGAAGCCCGCUCACCUCGCUCCCACGCACCCAAACCGCCCGUCACGCGGAGAGAGAGAUUUCGCUGCCGUGAGGGACGUCCCCAUCCCCGCAGAGCCUCUAAGAGUUCCAGCCACGGAGGAAGGCGCUCCGGGGCACUCCGCUACGUAGCGCUACUAGCGUUACGGGGACCGUGUCCCGCCGCGGAGCUCUGCGCCUCCGCUCAGCGCACGGCCCAGGUGCCCCGUGCAGAUGCGCUCGCCGCGCGUGAGCACUUUCCCCACAUUUGUGGGAACUCUUAAAAUACAUAUGUAAAAAAUAAAUGCUGCCGAAAUCACAGAGGUUGGGCUAGCUGCUGUGACCGUACUUCGGCUGUGCCGAGGAUGAUCCGCCCUAACCAUGGCACAGAACUCAGAGGAAAGGAGCUCCGGGUGCUCUCCAACGUUACGCGUGUGCAUAGCCACAGAGCGGUGCGUGGAAAAAUUAACAUCUGUUUCCCUACAGUAAAGUGCUCCACGUGGCUCCUUCCGAGCGCUUCCCUCAGCUUGAAGAGAAAUAUGUGGUGAUAAACUGGCAUCCAUAUGCAUAUCAUAUUGGUAAUGGUGUUAGGCUCCGGAGGUAGCUAUUCAUUGCAUAAGCCAUUUAGAACUGACGUUUUGAAAGCUUCUUAACCUUAGACAUCCUUGCAUCUUAAAGGAUUCCCAACGAUGUUAUUUAAGGAGGAAUUUGCUGUAAUUUAAUUGCAUAUCAAGAGGGAAUGGCACUGUCCUGGACGCGGAGCCCACCUACGCUGCAUCCCGCGGCUCUCCCACGCCCGUUCCUCAGCGGAGCCGUGCCUACAGCCGCCCUGUGCCGCAAUGACAGGUCGGACCGUGCAGGACGGCCGCCUCUCGGGCAGCCGAAGGGAUCCCCACUUUCUUUCCCUUUCCCCCACAAAUGGGCCUUCCCCCCACCCUUGCCUUAUCCAGCGAUAACUGUCACGAUACGGGGAAAGCGACCCCCCGCGGGGCUCUGAGAACCGGAAGGGUUCCCAACUGCAUCCCCUCCGUGGGCCGGGGCACGGGGGUCAAUUUGGCAAUCCCGCCAAAAUCCCAAGGGGGACACCCCAACCACGGGCCUGCUCUGCGGGGGCCUUGCAGCCGGGGGUGUCCCGGGUGAGAUUCCCUGUGUCUGUGUGCGCACUCUGCGUGGGUGUGAGGGCAGGGGGACUCAAGCAGUCAGAUCCUCUCUGAGUCACAGGGAGCUUCUUCCCUUUUCAUUUUCUUUUUGCAUUUCUUUUUUUUUUCCUUCUUUUUUUUUUUUUUUUUCCUCCAGCCCCUCCCCCAUCCCACCCCCCUUCUCCCUUUAUUUUUUUCUUUUCUUUUUUUUUUUUCUUUUCCUUUUUUUUCUCUCCCCAAAGGACAUAGCAUCGCUCCUUACACGGACACGCGGACCCCCAGCCUUCUCCUUCUGUGCCUUGAAGGAGCGCUUCAUGCUCUCCGCCUGGGCAAAGGGUUGGUAGGGGAUUGCCACGUGCAGUUACGGGAAAGAAAAAAGCACAAACCUACAGUUCUGUCUUGGUUGGUAAAAUCAUUAAAGUAUGUGAAGUGACGUGGAGUUUGGAUGUAUAUGAAUACAGUGGACGGAACCUGUGAGGAGGGUCCCACUUUAGGACAGGGUAUUUAUUUAAAGAUGUUGCAUCUGCAGGGGAAAAAAAAAAAAAAAAAAAAGAAUAUCCCACAAAGCCCCGUUAUACACCGAUAACAAAACGUGUCACAUCUUCACUUACUGCCGCAACAGAGCCGUGCCCUCAUCCGAACACCUCCGAAGUGAUUAUUGGAUUCCUCUCUGAUAAAUCAGUUUGUGAAACCGAGCUGGGAGCACACAGACAAAAAGGUGGGAGGGGGGGAGGGAAAAAAAGAAAGGGAGAGAGAAGAGAGGGAGCUCUGUUCGCACCGCGUACAUCCUUCAUUGCACCUUCCCAGUUCCGCGGGAGUGUCCCUCCGCCUGUUCUCCUUCCGAAGGAGUUUUCGUUGGUGCCACAGGUACAUGCUUUGAAAUAAGAGGUUUGCACUUGGGGUGAGGAAGGGGGAAACCCAGCCCAUAUUUUCUAUUAUUAUUAUUAUUGUUGUUGCUAUUAUUAUUACCCCAAUCAGAUACGAGAACUUUUUUUUUUUCCCCCCUGAGAGUGUGGAAUGAAGGACAUAGAGAUGGUGUAUCGGUGAAAGGAAGAAAGUGGCCUUUUAAUGAAACUAAAGGAAACCAAAACGCAGACGAAGUGCACCAUAAAGGCUGCUUCAAAAUGCUAGGUGAUCCCAGAGCGCAGCUACCUCGCAGGUUUGGUCAUGGGGAGCGCACCGCGCAGAGGUGUGUGUAACAUUGUUUUUCCCUUCGAUAAUUAUAGAUACGUGUCACAGACUCUUUGCAAAGAGCCAGGAGACAGCAAAGACCCUUUGCUGCUGCAAAUGAAGGAAGAGAAACAACGCCAUAAAAA